CCUGCCCAUUGAAUUUUUAAAAGGCCGCGGUAUUUUGACUGUGCAAAGGUAGCAUAAUAAUUAGUUUUUUAAUUGAAAACUAGAAUGAAAGGUUGAACAAAGAAAAAUCUGUCUUUAAUUUUUUUUUUGAAAUUUACUUUUAAGUGAAAAGGCUUAAAUUAAUUUAAGGGACGAUAAGACCCUAUAAAUCUUUACAUUUAUUUAAUAUUUUAUAAUUAAGUUGUAAAUUUAUUAUUAUAUUAAUAAUAUGUUAUAUUGGGGUGAUAAUGAUAUAAUAAAAAACUGUUUUAAUAAAUAAACAUGUAUAAUUGAAAUUUAAAAGAUCCUUUAUAAAGAUUAAAAGUUUAAGUUACUUUAGGGAUAACAGCGUAAUUUUUUUUAAGAGUUCUUAUCGAAAAAAAAGUUUGCGACCUCGAUGUUGAAUUAAAAUUUCUUUAUAAUGCAGAAGUUAUAAAAG
rnacentral:rRNA from 1 species